rnacentral:rRNA from 1 species
UACAGAGGGUGCAAGCGUUAAUCGGAAUUACUGGGCGUAAAGCGUGCGUAGGCGGUUAUUUAAGUCGGAUGUGAAAUCCCCGGGCUCAACCUGGGAAUUGCAUUCGAUACUGGAUAGCUAGAGUUCGGCAGAGGGAAGCGGAAUUUCUGGUGUAGCGGUGAAAUGCGUAGAUAUGCGGAGGAACACCGAUGGCGAAGGCAAUCCCCUGGGCCUGCACUGACGCUCAUGCACGAAAGCGUGGGGAGCAAACAGG